AGAGAACUGAUCUCAUGGGAAAUGAGCAAGCCUGCACAGCCAUGUAAAAUGAUAUGUGAAGCGUAUGCAGUGUGCACAAGCUGAUGAUAACAAAAACACUAUACACUCUUCUGCUGCUCUCCAAAGUAAAGCUGCAUUUGCCACUGAUGGGAGAAUCACUUGGCAAAACUGAGAUGAAGUCACUAGAGUGAAGAAACCACAGUAUGAAUUCUUGUUGUGUGUUGUAGAAAGACAUGUACAGUGGGAAGAGAAGGAUGGACAAUUGCACAUUUCUUCUGAGUUGAUUCACCCUACUCAUGCACAGAAUUUAUCUCCCUUCUUGCUGUUGUUUGCACCUCAACACACACAAGUGUAUCAAACAGUAUUGAUACAGAAGCUGGCCCCCCACAGAAUAAGAAGAUCUGACAAGCAUUCAAGUAAUCAUCACUCUCGAUAAAUGGAGAUCAUCAAGGGCAUUUCUCAUUCCUAGAACUACAAGAAGCAUUAAUUCAGCUUUUCGUUUAUUUCAUGGGAUAGGAUGCAGACAACACUCACAAAAAUAGAGCUGAUUUUCCUGACUAGUAAAAUCACACCCUCUUGAAGGUCUGAGCAACAUGUGGUGUCUUUAGACUGAUGUCUCCUCAACCCCCUGAGUCAUAGAAACUGAAAGGAGCAGGAAUUUUCAUCUCUCUUCUCUAUCAGUUAUUCCUACAGGUAAAACAAUUAGAGAAAGACUUAUUAAAGCUUAGAAUAUGAAUAAGGAACAGGAUUUAAUUUCUUUUAUACAAAUUAAGCAAUAGCUUAAAUGCCUGAAUCAAUCAAUUUAAUUUAGAGCUAAACUAAUCCUUGAAGUCAUUAUGAUUACACUAAAGAGUGAACGUGGCAUUUGGCUUUUCAUGCCCCCAAAAUAAAACAGAGGGUUUUUUUUUCAUGCAAUUGUCAUUAGCAUUUGAUGUAAGCUGUACUGAAAUACUUCUAUGUAUUUUAGUAGUUAAUAGCCAUCAUCCUGGCAGUAGAAGUCCAGUCCUGUAAAUAACACAAAUAAUUAAAAUCGUAACAAUUUAACUUAGAUAAAUCUCAAAACAAUAUCCUUCUUGUUCUGGCUGUCAAGCUGGAACACCAACAAUCAGAAAUUUGGCAGAUUUCAAAGUAAAAAGUUGUUUAAAUGUCCUUAAUCACCUAAGUUGCUUGUUGAGUUCAUACAGAACUAGAAGUCCAUUACCCCAAACCUCAGCAGUAGGAUAUUAAGUACUGCAGAAGUACUGCAGUACAUUGCAAAACAACACUGAAAAUGCAUUACUCCAGUCAAGAAGAUAUGAAAACUGUCAGUGGAUGUAAACACCACAGGAUAAAGUAAAGUUCAAUUUGAAAAUAAAUCAAAGGUUUCCAAGUUACCACAAAACUAUAUUUAUAUAAAUAUAUAUAUAUAUAUUUUUUUUUUUU